UCGGAAUCACUGGGCGUAAAGGGCGCGUAGGCGGAUUAUCAAGUCUCUUGUGAAAUCUAAUGGCUUAACCAUUAAACUGCUUGGGAAACUGAUAGUCUAGAGUGAGGGAGAGGCAGAUGGAAUUGGUGGUGUAGGGGUAAAAUCCGUAGAUAUCACCAAGAAUACCCAUUGCGAAGGCGAUCUGCUGGAACUCAACUGACGCUAAGGCGCGAAAGCGUGGGGAGCAAACAGGAUUAGAUACCCUGGUAGUCCACGCCCUAAACGAUGUACACUAGUUGUUGGGGUGCUAGUCAUCUCAGUAAUGCAGCUAACGCAUUAAGUGUACCGCCUGGGGAGUACGGUCGCAAGAUUAAAACUCAAAGGAAUAGACGGGGACCCGCACAAGCGGUGGAGCAUGUGGUUUAAUUCGAAGAUACGCGAAGAACCUUACCUGGGCUUGAUAUCCUAAGAACCUUAUAGAGAUAUGAGGGUGCUAGCUUGCUAGAACUUAGAGACAGGUGCUGCACGGCUGUCGUCAGCUCGUGUCGUGAGAUGUUGGGUUAAGUCCCGCAACGAGCGCAACCCACGUAUUUAGUUGCUAACGGUUCGGCCGAGCACUCUAAAUAGACUGCCUUCGUAAGGAGGAGGAAGGUGUGGACGACGUCAAGUCAUCAUGGCCCUUAUGCCCAGGGCGACACACGUGCUACAAUGGCAUAUACAAUGAGACGCAAUACCGCGAGGUGGAGCAAAUCUAUAAAAUAUGUCCCAGUUCGGAUUGUUCUCUGCAACUCGAGAGCAUGAAGCCGGAAUCGCUAGUAAUCGUAGAUCAGCCAUGCUACGGUGAAUACGUUCCCGGGUCUUGUACUCACCGCCCGUCACACCAUGGGAGUUGAUUUCACUCGAAGCCGGAAUACUAAACUAGUUACCGUCCACAGUGGAAUCAGCGACUGGGGUGAAGUCGUAACAAGGUAACCGUAGGAGAACCUGCGGUUGGAUCACCUCCUUUCUA
rnacentral:rRNA from 1 species